UGUGUGUGUAACAGCAUGAGCCUACCAACUUGUAUAAUGUUUUUAUCAGGUUUCUUCCUUCUGAGGAUCAGCUCAACCAGGGCCAGUGAGACGGCUCGGUGUGGAAGGGUACUUGGCAAACCUGAUGACAUGGGCGAUCCCAGGGUCCAUGUGGUGGAAACAGAGAACCUAAUCUUUCCAAAUACCUCCUUACUGAAUAUGUCCUUUUCUAGGCUGAACUCUCUUGGAUAACUGGCUUCUAGAAAACCCUCAGCAUGCACCACAACGUCUUGUUUCUGCAACAACUAAGACAAGUUUUCGUAGAGGAAUUUUUUUGAAGAAUAAUUGCUAAAAAAAACAAUCCCCAACUCUCUAACCUCCAUCAAUACUUUGAGCUAGAGACGUGGAAUAUUCUAGUUCCCCAGAGGAAGUGACAGUGAACUACAGUUGGUGUCCUCACAUAGAGAUCCAUUGUGACAGUCCCCAUGGCCCACACAGAUGAAUCAUUGAUUAAAACCAUGAGCAGCGAGGACUUCCUGAACUUAUUUUCUUCCCUUUUAGUCAUUUUUUUUUUAAUGUCUGGGAGCUAAAGUUACUUGCUGUGCAAUUUAAAACUAAAAAUAUACGCGCUACAGACUUUGCGUUGCAGCCUCUCCUGCUGAGAGAUCAUGUGUGGGUGCAGUUUGCAUGUCUGGACCGAUCACGGGGUUGUUCGCUGCUUGAGGAGAGCGUCUUACGUCAGAAUGUCUUACUUCAGAAAACUUGGCAGUCAUUGGAUGACUAGAGAACUGAGGUGGGCGUGGUGAUUCAUGGUAAGCACUUAGGAAGCUGAGACAGGAGGAUUGUCAUACGUUCAAGGUUAGCCUGUCUUACACAGAUAGAUGCUGCCUCAAACAACAGGCAAAACAAAAGAAGAAGUAAGGGGGAGGAGGAGGGAAAGGGAAGGAGAGGGGAAAGAGGAGGAGGACUAAGAAGAAUCCGCAGCAGCAACAGCCGCCAGGUUGGAGGGACACGUCUAGGAACUUGUCCGUCUUCAUUAUAGGCCUGUGCCACAGAAAACCAAGAGAAGAUGGUCCAGGACCUAGCAGUCAGCAGAUGCUUGGCAGUAGGAUGGGGCAGCCGAGCUGAAGACAAAGGAUUCCUUCUGCCUUCACCCAUGGGCUGUGCGAAGAAUGGCUAUUGUCAUUUCCCAUGAUGCCAAAGGACCUGACAUCCAGCACUUGAGAGCUGAGGAAGAAGAAUCUUGGGUUCAAGGACAACCUGAGAAAUGAAAUAAGGCUGGUCUCUAAAAAUAAAACAAAAUGAAACCUAACAAACAACCAAACCAACAAACCACAAGAGCAAACCCUGCUUUUAUCUAGUUAUGGCGGCUCUGACCUGUAAUCACAGCCCUAGGGAGGUGUUCAAGGUCACCCUUAAUUACUUUGGCAGUUGCAGGAUAGCCUGGGCUAUAUAAGACCUUAUCUAAAAAGAAUCAAAAGAACCAACCAAACAAGUUGUUAACUUUUUCAAGAGAGGGAAUAGGAAAUGUAGAGGGAGAAAGUAAGAAAGAAGGAGCAGAGCCCCAGGGGGUUCUGGGAAGGGUUCCUUGAGUCUGGGUUGGGGUCCUGCAUGAGCAAGGCAUGCAUUUGGGAAGAGAGGCUGGACUUCAGUGUUAGAGAGCAUAGAAGCACUUGGCAUAUGCUUGCAUAGGAGGAGAAGUCAGUACAGGUUAUUGAAUGUUAUAAUAUGCGGGGGAUUUCAAAUUGCAAGGGCAGGGGAGAUGGCUCAGUGGUUAAAAACAGUUGCUUCACAGUCUGACAUAUUUGACCCAUGAACCUACAUAAAAACCUUCAUCCAACAGUGGAAGUUGGCUCAGGGGCCACCUAGCCUGGAGUAUGCAGAAGCAACAAGAGAGACAGAGCCUGCUUCAAAACAAGGUGGGACGAGACAACUCUAGAAAAGUCCUCUGACUUCUAUA